UACGUAGGGACCAAGCGUUGUUCGGAUUUACUGGGCGUAAAGGGCGCGUAGGCGGCAAUUCAAGUCAUCUGUGAAAUCUCCGAGCUUAACUCGGAACGGUCAGAUGAUACUGCUUUGCUAGAGUGCAGAAGGGGCAAUCGGAAUUCUUGGUGUAGCGGUGAAAUGCGUAGAUAUCAAGAGGAACACCUGAGGUGAAGACGGGUUGCUGGGCUGACACGUGACGCUGAGUGCGCGAAAGCCAGGGGAGCAAACGGG
rnacentral:rRNA from 1 species